GAUGAACGCUGGCGGCGUGCCUAAUACAUGCAAGUCGAGCGAACAGACGAGGAGCUUGCUCCUCUGACGUUAGCGGCGGACGGGUGAGUAACACGUGGAUAACCUACCUAUAAGACUGGGAUAACUUCGGGAAACCGGAGCUAAUACCGGAUAAUAUAUUGAACCGCAUGGUUCAAUAGUGAAAGACGGUUUUGCUGUCACUAAUAGAUGGAUCCGCGCCGCAUUAGCUAGUUGGUAAGGUAACGGCUUACCAAGGCAACGAUGCGUAGCCGACCUGAGAGGGUGAUCGGCCACACUGGAACUGAGACACGGUCCAGACUCCUACGGGAGGCAGCAGUAGGGAAUCUUCCGCAAUGGGCGAAAGCUUGACGGAGCAACGCCGCGUGAGUGAUGAAGGUCUUCGGAUCGUAAAACUCUGUUAUUAGGGAAGAACAAAUGUGUAAGUAACUAUGCACGUCUUGACGGUACCUAAUCAGAAAGCCGCGGCUAACUACGUG
rnacentral:rRNA from 1 species